AUUGAACGCUGGCGGCAUGCCUUACACAUGCAAGUCGAACGGCAGCACGGGAGCAAUCCUGGUGGCGAGUGGCGAACGGGUGAGUAAUAUAUCGGAACGUGCCCAGUCGUGGGGGAUAACGUAGCGAAAGCUACGCUAAUACCGCAUACGAUCUACGGAUGAAAGCGGGGGAUCGCAAGACCUCGCGCGAUUGGAGCGGCCGAUAUCAGAUUAGCUAGUUGGUGGGGUAAAGCUCACCAAGGCGACGAUCUGUAGCUGGUCUGAGAGGACGACCAGCCACACUGGAACUGAGACACGGUCCAGACUCCUACGGGAGGCAGCAGUGGGGAAUAUUGGACAAUGGGCGAAAGCCUGAUCCAGCAACGCCGCGUGAGGGAUGACGGCCUUCGGGUUGGUAACUGCUUUAGUCUAGGAAAAGGGUAGCGAGGUUAAUACCCUCGUGCUUUGAUGGUACUGGAAGAAUAAGCACCGGCUACUACGUGCC
rnacentral:rRNA from 1 species